AAAAAAAUAAACCUGCAGAAAUCAUUCUGCAGGUCUUUUUGUUUUUUAAAACAAAAAGUAAAGGGAGAGGAGAAAUCAGAAGAAGAACUUAUGGGGAAGUAAGUCUUCUUCUAGA
rfam:Virgibacillus sp. LM2416 chromosome, complete genome.